rnacentral:rRNA from 1 species
GACGAUUCUCGCCGGCGUGCUCAUCACACGAAUCUCGAACGGAAAGGCCCUGCUUUUGUAGGGUGCUCGAGUGGCGAAAGGGUGAGUAACACGUGAGUAACCUGCCCUUGACUUUGGGGUAACUUCAGGAAACUGGGGCUAAUCCCGGAUAGGAGCUCCUGCUGCAUGGUGGGGGUUGGAAAGUUUCGGCGGUUGGGGAUGGACUCGCGGCUUAUCAGCUUGUUGGUGGGGUAGUGGCUUACCAAGGCUUUGACGGGUAGCCGGCCUGAGAGGGUGACCGGCCAGAUUGGGACUGAGAUACGGCCCAGACUCCUACGGGAGGCAGCAGUGGGGAAUAUUGCACAAUGGGCGGAAGCCUGAUGCAGCAACGCCGCGUGCGGGAUGACGGCCUUCGGGUUGUAAACCGCUUUCGCCUGUGACGAAGCGUGAGUGACGGUGAUGGGUAAAGAGGCACGGGCUAACUACGUG